AUUGAGAGCUUGCUCUCAAGAAGUUAGCGGCGGACGGGUGAGUAACACGUGGGUAACCUGCCCAUAAGACUGGGAUAACUCCGGGAAACCGGGGCUAAUACCGGAUAACAUUUUGAACUGCAUGGUUCGAAAUUGAAAGGCGGCUUCGGCUGUCACUUAUGGAUGGACCCGCGUCGCAUUAGCUAGUUGGUGAGGUAACGGCUCACCAAGGCAACGAUGCGUAGCCGACCUGAGAGGGUGAUCGGCCACACUGGGACUGAGACACGGCCCAGACUCCUACGGGAGGCAGCAGUAGGGAAUCUUCCGCAAUGGACGAAAGUCUGACGGAGCAACGCCGCGUGAGUGAUGAAGGCUUUCGGGUCGUAAAACUCUGUUGUUAGGGAAGAACAAGUGCUAGUUGAAUAAGCUGGCACCUUGACGGUACCUAACCAGAAAGCCACGGCUAACUACGUGCCAGCAGCCGCGGUAAUACGUAGGUGGCAAGCGUUAUCCGGAAUUAUUGGGCGUAAAGCGCGCGCAGGUGGUUUCUUAAGUCUGAUGUGAAAGCCCACGGCUCAACCGUGGAGGGUCAUUGGAAACUGGGAGACUUGAGUGCAGAAGAGGAAAGUGGAAUUCCAUGUGUAGCGGUGAAAUGCGUAGAGAUAUGGAGGAACACCAGUGGCGAAAGC
rnacentral:rRNA from 1 species